UACAGAGGGUGCUAGCGUUGUUCGGAAUUACUGGGCGUAAAGGGCGCGUAGGUGGUUCUGUAUGUCUACCGUGAAAGCAUACAGCUCAACUGUAUUUUGUCGAUAGAAACUGCAGGACUUGAGGCUGGGAGGGGCUGGUGGAAUUCCCUGUGUAGCGGUGAAAUGCGUAGAGAUGGGGGAGAACACUCGUGGCGAAGGCGGCCAGCUAGACCAGUUCUGACACUGAGGCGCGACAGCGUGGGGAGCAAACAGG
rnacentral:rRNA from 1 species